ACAAACAUAAUUCAUCAAACACAAACCGACAUGGUGGAAAUACUCCACAUCAGAGAUUUGAACACUGCAGAAGAGGUCCAUAAGACAUGGGUAGGACCAGACAGAGCCAAGGCAAUUAUGGGUGGAAAAAAUCAAACGUGGACCAGAAGGCACUGAUGGCAGUUUUAACAUGAAACACACCCUUCCUGAUGGGUACCAUGAUACCUAAUCGUUCUAAACUGUGACCUACCGAGGUGGACGGGGUCUGCUAGCCUGAUCAAUUGAAGCAGAGGGUCAGUGGCCUUCACAGCUUUUUCCACACCGGCAGCCGACUUCCCGUCUCCAUCAGUGGUCUCAUAGUUGACCAGCAUGUCCUGCAGCCAAAGAUAAUACAGCCAAGAGUAUCUCGCACGUCUCUGUGUGACCACAACUUGUGGACAGCUCCAGAGUCUCCACUCAAGUAGGUAACAUUCGGGCACAAAUAUUGCCACAGUGUUCGGGUUUUGCGGAUUUAGGUACAGUGCCAUGAGACCAAACAUCAAAGUGGAAGUAAACGGAAAGUUGAUUGUAAUCUGUGGCCAGGAAAUGGGUAAGGGGAGAUAACUUAGCAAUUUCCUGUUACUCACCUGGUACAUAUAUAGCAAUUAGUGACGUCUGCUUCACAGACUAUGUUUAUGACAAGUGAUUUCUGGCAUUUUGUUGUGUGAUGUCAGAGCUGGAAGUUGGCAGACUAUCCUGAAUAAUUAUUCUUGCUUAAAAAUUGUGAUUCUUGGGGUACUGGUUUUAGAUUGCUGUACGAGUUAAAACACAUUUUUUUUUCUCACUGAAUUAUUUUCAAACAGUGGAUACACGGAAUCCUCCAUAACUGUGCACAUGUGGUAGGAUGCUGGUUGUUUGCAUUCAGUUGUCUUACCAACAGCUGGCAUGUAUUUGUUGUGAAGCGAGACAGCAUUUUCGCGAAAACAGGAAAAUACAAGACGAACGCACGAAACCAAUCAGGAUAGCUAACAAUACUUCAAAAGGAGUGUUCACCCUUGUUUUUGUUGCCCCGCAGAAGUGUAAAAAUGUGAUGGCGAACUUCAUUUUUCUUUCUUUUGUGUCAUGUAUUGUGUUCAUAAAUAAAGAGAAAAGCUGUGCUUUUCUUUUUUUUUGUUUUGUUUUUUAGCAUCAGAAAUAUCAUUGAGUAAUUUGGCUGCACAAAUUUAAACAUGUUCUUACUUAUUGCGCCAGGCAUUAACAAUUGAAGCCUUCAUGAUAAUGCUCCUAGUGAUUCAGGUAGUUGUCCAAAGUCCUCUUUAAAUGGCUUUGAAGUAAGGUAUCAAUUGGAUUAGGUGCAUAAUGAAAUAGCAAAAUAAAUAUGUGACAGAAAUUUAAGGCAUCAGAACUGGGGUUGGUGUUUUUAUUCUUGUUUGAAAUCAUUUGUAUAAAAUAACGAAUUAGCGUCAUGGCAAUUUGGUGGUGGUGAUAAGGGGGAGAGAUGCCUUUCGUUGCCGAUUGUAAAAAACAAAAAAAAAAACACAAAACUUAUCAAGAGCGAUUUAUCAAGGUAGAGUUGCACCUGUAAAUUAAGUUAUCUUCCAUAAAAAAUUUUAACUUUU